rnacentral:rRNA from 1 species
UACAGAGGGUGCGAGCGUUAAUCGGAAUUACUGGGCGUAAAGCGUGCGCAGGCGGUUUUGUAAGCCAGAUGUGAAAGCCCCGGGCUUAACCUGGGAAUGGCAUUUGGGACUGCAAGGCUUGAGUGCGGCAGAGGAGACUGGAAUUCCUGGUGUAGCAGUGAAAUUCGUAGAUAUCAAGCGGAACACCGGUGGCGAAGGCGGCCUUCUGGACAGUGACUGACGCUGAGACGCGAAAGCGUGGGGAGCAAACAGG